rnacentral:rRNA from 1 species
AGAGUUUGAUCCUGGCUCAGGAUGAACGCUAGCGAUAGGCUUAACACAUGCAAGUCGAGGGGCAUCACGAAUUAGCAAUAGUUUGGUGGCGACCGGCGCACGGGUGCGUAACACGUAUACAACCUACCUUCAAUUGGGGAAUAACCUGGAGAAAUUCGGACUAAUACCCCAUAGUAAACGGAAGAGGCAUCUUUUUUGUUUUAAAGAUUUAUUGAUUGGAGAUGGGUAUGCGUAGGAUUAGCUAGUUGGUAAGGUAACGGCUUACCAAGGCGACGAUCCUUAGGGGUUCUGAGAGGAAGGUCCCCCACACUGGUACUGAGACACGGACCAGACUCCUACGGGAGGCAGCAGUGAGGAAUAUUGGUCAAUGGGCGAGAGCCUGAACCAGCCAAGUCGCGUGAAGGAUGACUGUCUUAUGGAUUGUAAACUUCUUUUGUAGGGGAAUAAAGAGAGGCACGUGUGCGUCAGUGAAUGUACCCUACGAAUAAGCAUCGGCUAACUCCGUGCCAGCAGCCGCGGUAAUACGGAGGAUGCAAGCGUUAUCCGGAUUUAUUGGGUUUAAAGGGUGCGUAGGCGGUAUUACAAGUCAGGGGUGAAAUCUUGGUGCUUAACAUUAAAAUUGCCUUUGAAACUGUGGUACUUGAGUGUAAAAGAGGUAGGCGGAAUGUGUUGUGUAGCGGUGAAAUGCAUAGAUAUAACACAGAACACCGAUUGCGAAGGCAGCUUACUAUCAUACAACUGACGCUGAUGCACGAAAGCGUGGGGAUCAAACAGGAUUAGAUACCCUGGUAGUCCACGCAGUAAACGAUGAUUACUAGCUGUUAGCGAUAUAUUGUUAGUGGCUAAGCGAAAGCGAUAAGUAAUCCACCUGGGGAGUACGUUCGCAAGAAUGAAACUCAAAGGAAUUGACGGGGGCCCGCACAAGCGGAGGAACAUGUGGUUUAAUUCGAUGAUACGCGAGGAACCUUACCCGGGCUUGAAAUGCUAUCGACCGACGGAGAGAUUCGUUAUCCAGCAAUGGCGAUAGUGUAGGUGCUGCAUGGUUGUCGUCAGCUCGUGCCGUGAGGUGUCGGCUUAA